rnacentral:rRNA from 1 species
AUUGAACGCCGGCGGCAGGCCUAACACAUGCGAGUCGAGCGGAUGAAGGGAGCUUGCUCCUGGAUUCAGCGGCGGACGGGUGAGUAAUGCCUAGGAAUCUGCCUGGUAGUGGGGGAUAACGUCCGGAAACGGGCGCUAAUACCGCAUACGUCCUGAGGGAGAAAGUGGGGGAUCUUCGGACCUCACGCUAUCAGAUGAGCCUAGGUCGGAUUAGCUAGUUGGUGGGGUAAAGGCCUACCAAGGCGACGAUCCGUAACUGGUCUGAGAGGAUGAUCAGUCACACUGGAACUGAGACACGGUCCAGACUCCUACGGGAGGCAGCAGUGGGGAAUAUUGGACAAUGGGCGAAAGCCUGAUCCAGCCAUGCCGCGUGUGUGAAGAAGGUCUUCGGAUUGUAAAGCACUUUAAGUUGGGAGGAAGGGCAGUAAGUUAAUACCUUGCUGUUUUGACGUUACCAACAGAAUAAGCACCGGCUAACUUCGUG